GACAUCCUGUACCUCGUAUUAGUGCAUUUUAUUUUAAAAGCAUUUGAUUCAGGCUCCAGAAGAGCUGUGAUUGGCAGAGGGGCAGCUGACACUGUGUCCCUGGUUCUGUAUCCCUUGGUGAGCCCAGGGAGGACUCCAUGGUUGGCAUCCAACAGCUCAGUCACAAAGGGAUUGAUUCCUGGGAGUUCAGGUAUCCGUGGCUAUGAUCUGACAUUUUCAAGCUGA
rnacentral:snoRNA from 1 species